GCUUGCUGCAGUCCAGCAGACACCCUUUGAUUGAGGAGGGUAUUUGGGGAGUUGCAGUGGUGUGCAGAAGAUCAUGUCUUUGCCCCACGGUGCUGUCAGCGGUGACAGAUCCCAGAUGGAGCCGCUACUGUAUGGCAGAUUGAGUUUCCCAGCAGAAAACUCUCUCCCUCCCUCCUAAACGUCUUCAAAAACCUUCUCCAGAUACUCCAGGUCACUUCGUCUGAAAAUGAAAAAGCUCAACCUCAAAGGUUGGGGCUUCUUUUACUUUUUUUUUUUAAAAUACAUUUUAGUUUCUCUGCUUUGCCUCUGUCUGCCUGACUCUUCGCCCGGCCCGGACUCUGAGGGCUGCUGUUGCUGCUGCUGCUGAAAGCGAGCAUUGCAGCUGUAGUCAGAAGUAACCACUCUCUCCCGCCCGCCCCCGGAUGCCAGAUCGCAGAGAGCUGCCCAGCCUGAGUCGACCAACUGCCCCCUCACAGGCCCCCAAUACACAAUACAGGUAUUUCCAGCCCACGGCUGGUACGGAUUGAUUUCCAAGGCAAGGCAAACUCUGAUUCGGCCUGAAGCAAAUCCUGCCGCAGUUGAUGCUCCGACAGACGUCACUGAAGGUCACUCCAUCACAAGGAACGUCACUUGUCAUCUUUUAUAAAUUUCAGAAGCCAUGUCUUCCUAUCCCAGACUCUGAUCAAGUUAAGCGACCUUAAUCUCCUAAUCAAUCACUAAGGAUUUCUUUUUAGCACUCUCCAGAUUGGUGCACACACAGCCAGGACAGGCUGUAUUCCAAAUAAACCAGUGUACCUGAGUUACCAAUUCUGGUCCUUCAGGCAAGCAGCCAAUGGCCGUGGAAGAGCCUCCUCGUUGGAAAUUAAGAUAGUUUGUGCUCAGAGGGGUCGCUACGAUCUCACCCCAAUGGGGUUUUCGAAUUCUGGGUUGUUUUAAAAAAAUGUUCCUCCCCCAGUAUUGUUAGCGUCUUCGGGAGUGUGUGGGAUCAGCCUCUGCUGCUCUCCAGGUAAGAAAACUGCUCAGCACCAACUAGACCUCCAGUCCAGCCUGAGGAGGAAAUGCCUGGGGGGUUUACCCCGAUUCCUCUGAGAAAAUACUUCUUUCCGAGCUCGGUGCCCACCAAAGGGCUCGGAACAAAUUCAGGGCUAUCUAGGGAGAAAGUAUCCCAGCGGCUCCCGCGGCCCUGCCCAUGCGCUCACUCCGAGGAGAUAGCCUGCAGCGAGCACUUUGGGGAAAGGCGAGUUAAACACCCAGGCAGCCUCGUCCGGGCCUCAUUGUUUUAAUGUCUAUAAUACUUACGCUUGGUUUGAAAAAGAAUAAUGUCUUUACAUUCAGAAGAAAAAAAACUUCAAAGCGCAGGGACUUCACAAUAUGGAGAACACAUGGUUGUCUUGAAAGUCCUUGCCUGCCAAAACGUGUUUCUCAGGACUUUUCUCCUUUGCUUGUCUUUUCUUUUCUUUCUUCUGACGCUCCUCCUCUCUCUUUCUUUUCUUGUCUUGAUUUUUUUUUCCUCCAAAAGUGGGUGGUAGCCCCUAGGCUCCGGUUACAUGGCUGGGGGGAGGCAAUUUGCAGUCAGGCUAAGCAAGGCAAUUAGGGGCUGAAAUGGUGUAUUCAGGCUCAAAGACUUCCUACAGAGGCGUCCUUUUCCUAAUCUGAAAGAAGUUCCACCGCCAAGCAAACGGGAGCCGCCGAAGCCAAGUGCGAGCAAGCUCUCUGGGCUUGACGUCUAUUAGCUCAGACCGUACGCAUUCAGGACCAAAGCUCGUCUUUUCCCUCCCUAGUUGGAUAUUCUUCAGGACACAGAUUAUGUGGACAGUUCUUUAGUUAUCGUGGUUGGAAAGGCUCUAGAUUUCGACUCAGGCAAUCUGGAAUCAGAGAGUUCCCCUGCCGCUUAGCUGUAUAAUGGGCAAGUCACUUGAUAGCUCGGUUUCUUUAGUUGUAAAUGGGGCAGCGAGGUCGUACCCUAGACCGAAGGUCGGGCCGGGGGUCUGGAAGACCCAUCUUCCGGAGUUCAAAUUUGACUUAAUGUGUGACCCUGGGCGAAUCAUUUAACUCUGUUUGCCUCAGUUUCCUCAUCUGUAAAAUGAGCUGGAGAAGGAAAAGGCAAGCCACUCCAGUAUCUUUGCCAAGAAAACCUCAAACGGGUCACAAAGAGUGGAUACUACACAACACACAUAGGAAUAGUCCUGUCUCCCUGGGUCUACGGAGGAAAGAACCUUUGUAAAGCUUAAAGGGCUAUGGAAAUGCAUAUUAUCGGUUUACCCCUAUACCUGCGGAAGGAGAGAAGAUGGGGGAAAUGGGUCAAAGCUUAGUCUGAGCAGUCCUGUGAAGUCCUGUCACUCUAGAGACCGAAUCGUUUCUUUGAAAGAAUAAAAAUAUAUUUGAAUCAUA